AGGUUAAGCUCUUAUUCUAAGCCCAUGUGGAAGUAAACCUUCUGCAAUAUAUCUUCAAAUUGACGGGAAAGCCCUAAUAGCAAUCUUAACUAACUUAAUAUAGAAAUAUAAUUAAGGGCGCAGGUAAUGACUCGCGAGAUAGUAAAAUCAAGAUUGAUUUACGAAAGUAAAAUGGGUGAUCCGCAUCCAAGCUUCACAUUAAAUGGGAAGAAGGUUCAUCGACUAUAUGGAGGUAGGCAUUUUAUUUAUAAGUUUAUUGACUGGUAAAUUGAUUGCUUAAGAUAUAGUCAAGCCCCAAUGGAAACAUUGCA
rfam:Gaeumannomyces graminis var. tritici R3-111a-1 mitochondrial scaffold supercont1.515, whole genome shotgun sequence.